rnacentral:rRNA from 1 species
UACGUAGGGUGCGAGCGUUUGUCCGGAAUUAUUGGGCGUAAAGGGUGUGUAGGUGGUUUUGUUAGUCUUCUGUUAAAGCUCCCGGCUUAACCGGGAAAGUGCAGAGGAAACGGCAAGACUAGAGGAUGUGAGAGGUUUAUGGAACUCAUGGUGUAGGGGUGAAAUCCGUUGAUAUCAUGGGGAACACCGAAAGCGAAGGCAAUAAACUGGCGCAUUCCUGACACUGAAACACGAAAGCGUGGGUAGCGAAUGGG